CCUCUGCAAAAUGAAAGCUUGAAAGUCAUUGAUAAAGAUGAACUUUAUCCUUUUUUCUACUGCUAAAAUUCUCAGAUUUAUUAUUUCACUUUAAAGAGGUAGAUUAUAGAGAAAUAUUAGAUGCUUUCUUCUUUCAUGGUAGCAUCAAGACAGGAGGGCCAAGCGUUACUCAUGUGAGAGGUUGUUCUGUUCCAACUGCUUCCUCCUCACUAUUCCUGCUGCGGCCUCACCUAUAAGUGAGCCCUUGGGAAGGAAGCAGAUUUGCCCAGUGUCUUAGUCUCCUAUUGCUGCUGUAACAAGUUACUACAAAUUAAAUGGCUCGAAACAACAUAAAUGUAUUAUUUUACAGUUUUUCAGGCUAGAACUCUGACAUGGGCUAGAAUAAAGGAGUUGGCAGGGCUGCACUUCUUUCUGGAGGCUCUAGGGAAGAAUCCAUUUCCUUGCCUUUCACAUUUUCUGGAGGCCACAUUUAUUCCUUGGUUUAUGACCCCUUCUUCCAUCUGGCGAGUGAGUACUUUUCACAUCUCCCUGAUUCUCUUCCAUAGUCACAUCUCACUCUGAUUCUCUUCUGCCUCCCUCUUCCACGUCUAAGGAUCCUUGUGAUUACAUUGAGCCUGUUAAAUUCAGUAUAAUCUUCCUAUUUUAGGAUCACUUGAUUAUCAACCUUAAUUCUAUCUGCAAUCCUAAUUUCCCUAUGCCAUGUAAUUAACAUAUACAGAGGUUCUGGGGAUUAGGAUGCAGUCCUCUUUGGGGGCCAUUAUUCUGUCUUCCACACCUAGAAAUAGGAGUUGUAGUGUGACAGGGCUCGUGAGAAUCAGAAAAAAAGAAGUGACACAAAACAAGCUGCAAAGCUGUAAGCUAGCCUAUUUUGAGUUGUGACCUUAUCCCCAUGUUAUUGCUAGAUAAUGUUUAUCAAACAAGGGACUCAGGGAGUAGCACAUGAAUAUUUCAUGUGGGAUUGGUGUCACAGGCUGAGUUUCCCAGAAGCCAACACAGAAAUGGAAACUUCCAUGAAGAACAUUUAUUAGGAGUGGUCUUCGGAUUAACACCUUCGAAACAGAAGGAAAAUGAUAAACAAUUUGUGCAGAGAGAGAAGUUGGACUGCAAAGCAGUCUCAGCAAAGUCUCUGCAGAACUCUGAGGCUCCCUACCUAUAGGGAGACAGUCUGCCUGCCGGUCACCUCCUACUCAUCACUGGAAUCACAGACAGAACAAGUGGUGGCAACACUGGCCUGAAGAUUCCUGACAACGUAGGUCUGGCCGGGAUUGGAAGCGUCACCCAGCCUCAGGACGGGGACCCGCCGCCAAGCGCCGCCUCCGCGGGAUGGUCCUCGGCAGCCGCCGUAGCGCAGAGACGAAUCCGCGCGCCCCCAGGCUGCCGGGAGCUACCAGGAGGCUUCCACCUGAGCGGCGCGUCCUCAGGGCUUGGGCCUGGCCUCCUCGCCUGUGAGGUGGCGCUGUGGCAGUGCCCACCUCGUGGGCUGUGUGAGGGCCGAGUGAAAUCGUGCAUAUGCGGUAAGAAAGUGCUUUUCACGGUGCCCUGUCCUAAUAUGGGCUGCCAGCCUAAGUACAGAGGCACAGUCCCAGCCCAAAGGCCAGUUUCCAGGUGAGCCCCUGUCGGGGAGACCACCAGACGGAACAGUGCCAGUCUACACUCCUGCACCGAGCAGGGGACAGUGUGGACGGCAGAGAGGUCUGAAGUCCCUUUAGAAUAAGGAUAAUGCUUCAGGGUUGUUAAAAGUAUUAAAUGAGAUGAUAUCUAAAGGGAUUAGCACAGUGGCUGAUGCUAAAAUAAAUCAUUUUCCCUACUGCCACUGCCCUUAAAACCAGACGCCUGCAACAGCCGGCCGGUACGUCUCCUCAUUUGUAAACUGGAGUUAGCAGGUGUGUUGUGAAGAUUGAGAAAAUUACGCAUAGGCAGAACCUGGCGUUUAAUAUUUGGGAAAUGGCAGCAAUUCUUUCUUCACUAGAUAAUCUACAGGCUGCACUGUGGUAGGCACAUAUGCUUAGCACCGAUUCUUAUAAGUGCAGGUAAAGAGAGAGAGAAGACUUGUGUAAGUCGAAGGAGCCAGCCGUGUCCAGGCCGCAGCAAAACCUCAGCAGUACUGUACCAGGGCCCUCUUCAGUGAAUGAAUCUCCUCUUUGGCCUGUUUGCUGUCUGUUUGCAUUUGCUGCACCCAUCAGUUCCCAGACCUGGCCUUUAAAGCCAGGAGCUCUAGGAUGCUUGUCCCAAUCCUAGAAAACAAGUACAGCACACACCAACAGCAGCACCCCUAAAAGCCAGCCCUACUGGCAGUGCAGGCCCUGCAACCCGUAGGUAAGUGGGACACUCUAAGCUUCUUGGAGACAGCUAACUCAGGGCCUGAUUAGCUUACUCUCACCUCCUCUCUUCAGGAAAUCAGACUGUGUAAAGUAAGAGAGAAAAGAAAAUUAGCAUAAGUCUAUUCCAUUGUUUAAUGACAUGUGUUUCACUUGUGUUAAAAGUGAAUUGUGGGCUGGCGUGGUGGCUCAUUUGCCUGUAAUCCCAACACUUUAGGAGGCCACGGCAGGCAGAUUGCUUGAGCCCAGAAGUUUGAAACCAGCCUGGCAACAUGGAAAAACCCCAUCUCUACAAAAAAUACAAAAAUUAGCAGGAUAUGGUAGCUCAUGCCUGUAGUCCCAGUUACUCUGGAGGCUGAGGUGGGAGGAUGGCUUGAACCUGUCAGGUCGAGGCUGCCGUGAGCUGUAAUCACGCCAGUGCACUCCAGCCUGGGUGACAGAAUCAGUUCUUGUCUAAAAAAAAAAAAAAAAAAAAAAAUUGAAUUGUAGUACCAGCUACAUUUAUAGAGCCCUUUGUCUUUACAGUCAUGGUGCUAAAGUCUCUGAUCUCAUUUAAUCCUUACAACCACUCUCACAAUGCUCUGUCCAUUUUACAUAUUGGAAAACUAAGACUCAGGUUAAGAGAGACUUGUUGAAGGUCACAGUUAGUAAGCUGCAGAGAACCAGAAAGUGAAUCUGGGUUGACCUUGACUCUAAACAGUUUGCUUUUAACAACUAUACUCCUUUGAACAUAUUUACCCUAUUUUCUUCAUUAAGUAAAAUGCUUUCUGUGUCUUAAUUUUCAGAACCUCUAAUAAAACAUUUUGCAGAACAUAUUUUCUAAGUAUCCCUGAUCCCCACAAACCAGGCUUUCUUCCCUAAUCUUUUAGUCAUUGCAAACAUGUAAUAGAUGCAUGCUGAGUUUGUGAGCUUGGCACCACACAUGACAGGCUUUGGUUAGGGAAUUCAGCUACAAGCAACCAAACCCUCAUAGCCAAAGCCAGGGGUGCUAGGACCCCUGGCCCUGCAGUGGCCCUGAUACGGCCUUUCCAUCCUCACAGUUACUGGGACAAAACGUCCUAUGCUUUCACCCUUAUGUGGCUCCAGAGGUAGGAUUUAAUUUUUUAAAAAUCUGCAAUACUGCAGCAGAAAUGUAGUUAUGAGUCAGGGAUGUGUACGUGUGUGUGUCUGUGUGUGAAAGCCAGUCUCUCAGCACCAGCUAAAAAUGUGAAGCAGCAAGUCUGUGCUGGGAAUUGAGGACACCAUAUGCUUGUAUUUCUAGGUCUUCCUAAGAAUUAUAUAACUGCCCCCAAAGCCAGGGGGCAGGAGCAGGGCCAGCCGUGGGAGACGUUUCCAAAGAGGAAUGCUGAGGAAGGACUGACCUUGAGGAGACAGGGAGUUUGCCAGGCUGUGGAAUGUUCCCAGCCUUGGGGCUUAAACAAAAACUGUAUUCAGAGGGUGAGUGCUCUGUUGAGAACAAACCCUAUCUGUCUCCUGCUUUGUCUCAGGGCUUCUCAAGGUGAGCCCUUUCUCUGCAGGUUCUGGAUAUUGAAUUUAGAGGUGGGCACAGCUGCCAGAGCAAGGCCCUGGUAAUCCUCCCAGCCAUCUCUAAUUAGCCGACUUCAGGGAUCCCCCCACCCGCCGCCCUUCUCCGGAGUUCUGAGGGUUAGGCAGAGGGGAGAUAAAAGCUCUCAUCUAUUCAUAGAAUAAGGCUGCAGAAAGGCACCCUGGGAGGAGAGCUGUGGGAGGGAAUACAACCAAUCAACAAAGGUUUAUCAAGGGCUCACCCUGUGGUCACCCUUGGGGGAGGGAGGUAUCUGAUUGGCCCCAUCCUGCUGAGGGCUUCUUUACAGUAUUCUUUCCUAGAAAACAUCCUCCCCACCAUCCUCGCUCCCCGCUCCAGAUCUUACUUGACUAAAGCCCAUUAUUCUUAUAGGCCUCACUUCAGAGGCCUAAAACCCAGAGCAAUGUUUUUCAAGCUGUGGGUCAUGACCCAUUAGUAGCUUGUGUAAUUAAUUUAGUAGGUUACAUCGAGCAUUACUGUCCCCCAUACCCUCCAAAAAAACAAAAACCAAAAGAACAAAGGAAAUAGAAAAGAGGCUAUCUGAGCACACUGGACACCAUGAAGUUAAGUGUUGUUUCAGUUAUGUGUAUACUGGAUCAUGAUAUAAAAAGCCAAAUUCUUACUGGUGAUUGUGAUUUAAAAAAAAAAAAAAAAGAUUCAGAAACUCCUGGCUUAGAGGCUGCGUCUGUCCGUAUCCUUCUCACUGCAAGUGUCAGAAACCCUGGCUCAAUCUAACUUAGACGAGGAGGACAUUUAUUAUCUCACUUAAAGGGAAGACUAGAGGCGUUGCAGGCCCCAGGGUGGUUAAUACAGUGGCUCAACCCUGCCACCAACAGUACCAUGCCUUCACAGUGGGUUUUAUCCUCAAACUGGUAGUAAGAUGGUUACAGAAGCUCCAUGUCAUAUCCAGAGAACACUCAGUGGGAGGAGAGACAAGAGACUAGAUCUUCUCAUGUCUCUGAGGAGUGAAGAAAUUUUUCUUGGAAGCCCUCUGGCUGAAUUCACUUUCUCAGUAGAGAAUUGGUCACAACUGUAUUCCUAAAUCCAUCACUGGCAAGAGGGUAUAGGAGUCUCAUGAGUAGAUGAGACUGAGCAGGAGAUCCCCCUGGAGCUGAAGGUGGGAGAGAAAGGUGGAUACAAAAGUGAUCAAAAAGUAGGACCAAAUGAUAGAAUGGGAGAAGAUGCUUGCAAUAUCUAAAACUGACUAAUAUCUAGAAUACACAAGAAAUUCCUACAAAUCAGGAAAAAGACAGCAACCCCAUAGAAAAAUUAGUAAAAGAUAUGAACAUGCAAUUUAUAGAAGAAUUAACCCUAAAAUCUUACAAAAUAUGAUAAAAUGCUCAAAAUCAUUGUUAAUCAUCAACAAUAUGAAUUUAAAUGAGACUUUACAUACAUUAGACUGAAAACAAUUAUUAAUAGAAACCUGUGAGGUCUGAGAAAGUGAAAAAAAAAAAAAA